GUGGCAAGCUGAGAUGAAGACUUCAGGGAUUUCUCCACCACUGCACAUAAAUUUUCUCAAGCAAAAUCAAGUCCCCACUUGCUUCCCCCCAAAUGAAAGGUUUUCUAAGAGAAGUAAAGUGAAAGAGCAAUUCUCUGCAAGUGUUCUUUAUUCUGGAACUCAUUCACUUUAUAACUUGGUUCACCAAAGGCUGGGUUCAUGAAUUCCAGUCCACAUUUUUUGUUUAGUUCUCAUCUGCCAGGAGAUGGAGACACAGCAUUUGAAUCUUCCAUCACUUAUGUGAGAAAAGACAAGAUAAAACUAUUGGAAAGAUAAAAUAUAAAUAGUACAUAAACCCCACUGAACUUGGUAGAUUGAUUCAAAAGGAAAGUUUUCUAAGUCAUUAUUUCUUGGUCUUUUAUUGCCCUCAUUAAACAUAUUUGCUAUUGCCAAUUGCUGUUCUAUAAACAAAUACAAGAAAACAAAAGGAAUUAGAUGAGUUUUUGUUAAAAUUAUUCUUUCUUUGAGUUUCCUUCAAAGUGUACACAACUUGAAGAGAAUGUAUUGCAAUUGCUCCCAGUUAGUUUUUGAUCUUGAGCAUUGUUAUUCCAUCUCAGAUAAAAAGUCUGAAGAGUUCAAAGAAGUGUGAACAGAGUGGAAGUAUCAUUGUAUAGGUCUCUGAA